rnacentral:sRNA from 1 species
GAGGCAACUCCAUAGCUAACUCAGCAGUUGCUAUGCUUGGUGUAGGACAUCUCUCUUCAAUAUCAAUCGUCGAGGUUGGCGACCCACCACUCUCACUUCCCAGUGUAUCAGCCCGUAUCUGUGGUACUGUUAACACUGACGUCGGCGACCCAUUGUCCUGGUCGUAGAGAGACUGCACCUGCAGCUGAGGCUUCUCUAGCUGUUUCAGUGCAGGGACGUUCUUGCUGGCUGUGCUCCCUAGAUUGCGUGGGUACGGAUGAACAGGCUUACGCUUCGGCCGCGGCGGGGGAAUCUGAAUUGAUGAUGCAGCACCCAAGCUGUUGCAAUUGUCCCCAGAUGAUUCUUUGAUGACCUGCAGCCGGAGUGCAAAGCAGAUAACGGUCAGGAAACAUGGUCUCGAGUGUGGCAGCAUGGAUUGCAAAGCAGCCUGCUCUCCAUGAUUGAGCAACUUACAUCACCUUGCAAGCAACACAAUCCAUGGAGGUUUUUCAAGUCAUUUAGGGAAUUUUUUGUGCACGAGAAGGCUGUGAGACCUUGGAGAAGAACUUCUGUGCGUGGCUCCUGAUCUGCACGGCAGUCUUGGUGCCUAUGUGCUCUGCAACCGGAGCGAGGUAUCCUUUGUCAGUAAAAUUCUUACCAAACCAGAAACUGUGCUUCACCGUUGCAGCUUCUUGCAGCGGUAAAAUUAGUACCUUGGAUGCGUCGCCAGGCUCGGCCAUGGAGCUGCAGGGCUUCCAAGAACAGCUUAUGUUCGUCCUCGGUCC